rnacentral:tRNA from 1 species
GAGGCGGUAGCUCAGUGGCAGAGUAGGCGAUUCAUCGGAGGAUCGACAGCCAGGUCGCAGGUUCGAAUCCUGUCCGCUUCG